rnacentral:tRNA from 1 species
AGGGGAGUAGCUCAACUGGCAGAGUAGCGGACUCCAAAUCCGUUGGUUGCGGGUUCGAAUCCUGUCUCCCCUGCCA